rfam:Dipodomys ordii contig_37128, whole genome shotgun sequence.
GGUGGCUCAGUGGUAGAGCUCUUGCCUUGCAUACAUGAGGCCCUGGGUUCGAUUCCUCAGCACCA